rnacentral:rRNA from 1 species
UACGUAGGGGGCAAGCGUUGUCCGGAUUUAUUGGGCGUAAAGAGCUCGUAGGUGGUUCGGUAAGUCGGAUGUGAAAUCUCCAGGCUCAACCUGGAGGGGUCAUUCGAUACUGCCGUGACUAGAGUUCGGUAGGGGAGUGUGGAAUUCCUGGUGGAGCGGUGAAAUGCGCAGAUAUCAGGAGGAACACCCGUAGCGAAGGCGGCACUCUGGGCCGAUACUGACACUGAGAAGCGAAAGCGUGGGGAGCGAACAGG